AAGGGGGAGGGGAUGGAACCGCUGGUCAGACAGGGUCCCCCUACAGUCUCUCCUUGAGGCUUCCCUGGAAGGCACUGUUGGACCCCUGCAGCUCUUGUUGCCCUCCCCCUCCAUGGAUAACAUAUGCAUGUCUGGGGAGCAGCGGACAAUCACAGAACACAGAGGUGACCCCAGCAAAUCUGAUCUGUUUUUCCUUGGUGCAUAGUGACUGGAAGUUGUGUUUGAGGGUAUGUGAGGCUGGAUACCAUCAGGGCUGCGGGCUGCCCCUGUCAUGCUCUGCAGCGGGUGAGCAGGAUGGGACACCCCACACACACGAGCCACUGCCCCCACCCAGCAAGCCUCAUCCCUCUGAGGGCUACUGUACGGGGCAUUGGCCAUAUCUUGCAAAAUAGUUACACAGAACGAUGAAUUCCUGCACACAUUAGAUUAGUUCCUCACAGCCCCAGGAUUUGGAAGUUAGGGUUAGGGUUAGAAUGGCUGGACACAAAGCCAGUUAAUGUGGGAAGAACUUAAAAUGGCCCAGUGUCUGCAAGACACAGAACAGAGCUGGCAGUGUGGGCUCCUGAGCUUCCUCUGUUCUGAAACAAAGUGUAGGCUUUGACAAAUCCAUGUUCUAAUCCAUAGGUUCUGUCUCCGACCUCAGCCAAAUGCUUCUGGGUGUGUUUGCUUUUCUGCCUUUGAGAUUUUUCCUGUCUUGCAGGCUAAUUUGGGCCGCACCUUUGCCUGCCUUGUUCCAUCCUCUGCCUAAAAUCGUCUCUAUUUUCCAUCUCUAGUGUAGAUUUUCACCAAGCCACGUUUCCCGUUUCCAGACUGAGCCACCUGCUAGGUGGGCCAGUUGAUUGACACAUUCAUUGUUCAGAAAGCAGUACCGGGUGUGUCCUCGUGACCAGUGGGAGGGACUCAGCUACCACUGAGCGGUUCUUUUCUGCACAGUUCUGGUCUCCAAGGUUCUGUCCCUUCCAUCUCCAGUGCACCACGUUUUCCUAGAAAACAUAGCAUCUUUCUUGCUUUCAGAUGACCUCCAGUUGGAGGUGACCCACACAUGUUUACCAUGCCAGGUCUCCUAAUUUUAAUAGAGAAAUUUAUAGAAGCAGAACAUUAUUUUUUUCACGUGCAUUUCAACAUAUUUAUGAGAUUCCAAAGUCAAAUAAAACAAGAUGCAGCCAUAGAAGUGCAGCUUCUGCCCGUGACUGUCUGCUUUCUUCCUUCCCCUCUCCUGCAGGUGACCACUUGCAUUUUUCUUAUUUACUCUUCUACUUAGGAAAGUGUAUUAAAUGCAGCAUGUGCCGGUGCGCCCACUGUCCUGGUAAAAGCCAUGCAGCACGCAACCCUCCCCCGGCUGGUCUCUGCAGAGUGUCCUGGAUGUCUCUCCAAAGGUUCUGCCGUGUUUUCUGGAGAAGCAGACUUCGUGGGGUGUGGGCAGACAGAGAAAGAUUCUGCUACAACAUCAGCUUGUGUGGUUAUAGAAUCUGCUGAGCUCCCACCUUGGCAGAUCCCCUCUGAAGGCGGCAGCUAGAGAAGCAGAAAGAGCUGGUGCCACGUCUGAGUUCAGAGGCAGGAGGAAGCUGGGGUCCCAGCUCAAAGGCAGUGUCAUGGUUUAUGUCUGUGUCCCCCAGGCCUCAUGAGUUUGCAUUGUGCAUUUAUGAUUGGUUCAUUGUCUAGUGCUUGAAUUGAUGGUGUUAGUGCUCCACCCACAAAAGGGUGGAGCCAGGAUCUGAUGUAAUGGCAGGAAGAAGGUGUGUCUUGCUCUUUGCUGGUUCCUGUUUGCUGUUUGCAGCCGCUAUGAACUGCAGCCCAGCCAUGCCUGCCUGCCUUGGAGCCAACUGAGUGUGGACUGAAACCUCCAAAAACUAAUGACUGCUCCCGGCCCGAGAACUGCAGCCAGUUGUGAAUCCUGAAUCUGGGUUGAUGCCAUGCUGACUGGAGUCUCCCAGCUGGGCACAGGAACUGUCCUGUGUCCUAAGCAGUGGUGCCAGGGGAUGGGACUCGACAAGAGUGACUGAUGUGCACCCAGACACAGCCUGUAAGGACAAAGAGUUUGCGCUGACGCAUGAAGGAUGAUGACAUCUCCAAAUUCAGCUGCACAGGGCUCGGAUGUAGGAGGAUCUGAAACAUACGCAGUUACAAGACGCCGUCGUAGUGUCACGAGGAGUGCAAAGGUCAGCGUGCUUCAGGACAGCUUUACAGGGAGACGUCAUAGAUGUCAUGUGGCAUCUGGCACAGUAAUGACGUCAAACUGCUGAUGACGCACGGCUGACGUCACUGCUCAUCUGCAAAGCGCCUGGUGCUCUCGCCCCAUAUUUCCCAAGCCGCGGGGAGAGUGUUAUCUACAGCCACGCCGUCCCCUGCCCGUUUCCUGGAGGUUGUGAGCAGUGGUCAUGCACACGGCCCAGCUGCUCACACCCUUCCCUGGCUCUUGAAUACCUCCUGAUGCCCACAUUCCUUCCCCACUGUUCCCAGAAGUCGCUGAGGCUUCCCUCAUAAGCUUGCUUACGACAGUCGACUUCACUAGUUGGACAGGGCCUGUUAUUCAUUGCUUCUUCCUUUCUUUGAGAUCAUAGACAAGCUCUCUGGAGCCUUUGAAGCCACCUUGGGACCAUGAGAAGAAAAAGGAAACAGAUGGAGUCUGAGUCUUUGAAGCUGCUAGAGUGGCUCAGGAGAUCUGACUUCCUGACUUCUCCAUGAGAAAAUAAAGCCCUAAUAUGUUUAAGCCACAAGGUCCAAUCUAGAAAGAUAAGGUUAGGUGUCCAAAUGGAUACAACUUCAGGCAGUCAAACUUCUAGUAAUGUCUUUGUCAUAUUGUCUUCAAAAUUUUACAGAUUUUUCAUUUUAUUAUCUUCCAUAAUAUGAGCCAAUUAAUACCUCUUUCUAUUAAAAAGAUAUUUUAUAUUAGAAGCAGGAAUACUAUAAUCUCCUCUCUCUCUCUCUCUCUCUCUCUCUCUGUCUCUCUCUCUCUCUCUCUCUCUCUCUCUCUCUCUCUCUCUCUCUCUCUCUCUCUCUCUCGUCCUAGGGAUUGAACUCAGUGUCUUUGUGCUAAGCCCUUUUUAUUUCAUUUCUCUAAUUUUUGAGACAAGGUUGUAAGUCACUAAGUAGCCCAGACUCGGCUUGAAUUUGUGACCCUCCUGCCUCAGCCUCCCAGAGUGGACCACCGCAUGCAGCUCUUCCUUUCCUUUUUAAUCCCUCUUGAAUUUGCUGAGUCCUAAUGUCAUGCAUACAACAAAUGCUCAGUAAACCCUUGGAAAUUGGUGAGUUGUUCAAUCUUCCUCCUGAACCGAUACCUUCACAUGACAGAUUAUAAGCCAAUUAAAUAUGCAUGGUACUUUCAAAA